ACGCUCGACACCUACGGGAGCAGCAGUGAGGAAUAUUGGUCAAUGGGCGCUAGCCUGAACCAGCCAAGUAGCGUGAAGGAUGAAGGCUCUAUGGGUCGUAAACUUCUUUUAUAUAAGAAUAAAGUGCAGUAUGUAUACUGUUUUGUAUGUAUUAUAUGAAUAAGGAUCGGCUAACUCCGUGCCAGAGCCGCGGUAAUCUGAGCGGGCGUGGCAAGGC
rnacentral:rRNA from 1 species